AUUGAACGCUGGCGGCAUGCCUAACACAUGCAAGUCGAACGGAAACGAUGGGAGCUUGCUCCCAGGCGUCGAGUGGCGGACGGGUGAGUAAUACUUAGGAAUCUACCCAGUAGCGGGGGACAACUCGGGGAAACUCGAGCUAAUACCGCAUACGCCCUACGGGGGAAAGCAGGGGAUCUUCGGACCUUGCACUAUUGGAUGAGCCUAAGUCGGAUUAGCUUGUUGGUGAGGUAAAGGCUCACCAAGGCGACGAUCCGUAGCUGGUCUGAGAGGACGAUCAGCCACACUGGGACUGAGACACGGCCCAGACUCCUACGGGAGGCAGCAGUGGGGAAUAUUGGACAAUGGGGGCAACCCUGAUCCAGCAAUGCCGCGUGUGUGAAGAAGGCCUGCGGGUUGUAAAGCACUUUCAGUAGAGAAGAAAAGCCUAGGGUUAAUAACCCUGAGUCUUGACGUUACCUACAGAAGAAGCUCCGGCUAACUCCGUG
rnacentral:rRNA from 1 species